UCCUGGUCUCUAGCCCUAAAAGGUGUGAGUUAGCCUGCUUAAAGUAAGGUCCACUUAAAGUGAGGUCUUCAAAAGUCAAGUGACUUCUGACAGGUUCUCCCAAUAGCUCUGUCUAUUUCACUUUAAGGCAGAAUGGUCUGGCUUGUGGUGAUUUAAACCUUGGCUGUUAGAAUCAUCUUGUGGAGAAUUUUUUUUUUUUUAAAGCUGACUCCUGUUCUUAUUUAAUUAGUGUAGAAUGGAACUCUAUAUAUUUGCAAAAGCCUCUCCUGGAGGAGACUUGCUGGCAUAGACUUGAGGGUAAGCAGAAGAAGGGAGUGGAAAACAAGAAAGGAAGUUGCAUCCAGUGUUUGGAGAACCCAGACAUGUGCUCAGAGGAGUGCCUCCUUGGUGAGACGCGUCUUCUGGCGGUAAUGAAUCUUAAAGCUCAAAGAAGACAGUUAAAGGAGUAACCAGUGACCCUUCAUGGUCCUCUUAAAGGGAAGGUGGCUAACUCAUUUUAACCAUCAGUUAAAACCAUUUUCGCAUCAGGAUUUAAGGUUAAACAUCACAAUUGAUAAUUUAAAUGAUUUCCCAUACUAAGAGAGCCAAGAAAGUUUCAUAUAACAAAAUGAUGUAAUGUCCCAUAGUAUGUUUUAACUAACAAAAAGAGAAAGUUGGUAAUGUGUUAUUUUAAUAGCUUAUGUGACUUUUAUUUAUGAGUUUCCUGAACCUCUUGUAGCCUGGAAGGAAAUCAUGAUUUGUUUGUUAAAAUGUUGAAGAGUUAAAGCAUUCAUUGUUUUAUAUAAAAUUCUCUUUGAGAUAAAAAUAAGGUCAUGUUAUUUGUUUAAUCAUAAGUUGUGCUGUAUAUUUUACUCUGAAUAUAUGCUGUUUCACUAAUUUUAAUAGUGUCAUCAAUUAUGUUGUUGCUUAUAAUCAUCUUGAAUAUCCAUGAAUCUUUUGAUUUUUGUUCACAUAUUAAAGGCAUUUCUGAACCAUA